rnacentral:rRNA from 1 species
CAGUCGCCGCGGUAAUACGAAGGGGGCUAGCGUUGUUCGGAAUUACUGGGCGUAAGGGGCGCGUAGGCGGCCAUUCAAGUUAGAUGUGAAAGCCCUGGGCUCAACCUAGGAAUUGCAUCUGAUACUGUUUGGCUUGAGUUCGGGAGAGGUGAGUGGAAUUCCCAGUGUAGAGGUGAAAUUCGUAGAUAUUGGGAAGAACACCAGUGGCGAAGGCGGCACACUGGACCGACACUGACGCUGAGGCGCGAAAGCGUGGGGAGCAAAUGGGAUUAGAGACCCCAGUAGUCCCUGUCUCUUAUAC